rnacentral:pre_miRNA from 1 species
AAAAAGAUUAUUUUUCAGUUUUUGGAUACAAUGUUUUGACUCUUCGUCUUAUUUGAAUUUUUUACGAUUAAUAUUUUUAUUCUUACUAGAUGAUAAAACAUGAAUAAUACUUUAUACGCGACUAUUUUUUUAAGUUUUUAUAUAACAUUUUCAAAUAAGACGAAUGGUGAAACGUUGGACAUGGAAAAACGAAAACUGAAGUUAUU